rfam:Volvox carteri f. nagariensis unplaced genomic scaffold VOLCAscaffold_10, whole genome shotgun sequence.
AAAUCGGUGUUUCUCAACACCACCAUCUUCAACAAAAGUAAACCGG